AGAAAAAUAGAAUGAGAAGAAAAGACGGCAUGGAUUAGUGUUAGAACAUAAUAUUGGUUGUUACAAAAAUUAAAAUAUAUUAAUAUAAAACUCAGCGUGGAAAUCCAUUGUCGCUGUAUGUGUAUAUAGUUCCGGAGAUACAUAUUUUGGUUACUGGGGUUUAAUAUGUCGUGGCAAAUGUUGCUUUCCUUUGCCAUGUUGCUGAAGAAAGAGGUGCGUGCCCUUGAGCGUAGCAAGCUGAGGUAAGAGACGGGUCUUCUCAAGAUCGGGACGCCUUCAUGGUCAUUUGUCACGAGUUCCGACCCAAAUGCUAUUCUUGACCGCUGCAGACUUUUCUAUCGUCUGUCUCGUUCGUCUGGCGGAAUGCAGAGGAGUUAACUUGGAGGAAUUAACGUCGUCUGUGGCAGCAGGUAUGUGUUGGCCCUUAGGUAGCCCAUAGUAAGCUCAUAGUUUACUUGAAGUUCAUGUUUUGUUUUGUCAUAGAUCGGUAACCUUUUGCUUUUGUCACAUUUAUAAUGAAUAACUUUAAUAUCAUAACCAAGGUUUACUGUGAUCUAAUGGACUGUGUUACUUGCCAAUUAGAUG